AUUGAACGCUGGCGGCAUGCCUUACACAUGCAAGUCGAACGGCAGCACGGGAGCAAUCCUGGUGGCGAGUGGCGAACGGGUGAGUAAUAUAUCGGAACGUGCCCAGUCGUGGGGGAUAACGUAGCGAAAGCUACGCUAAUACCGCAUACGAUCUAUGGAUGAAAGCGGGGGAUCGCAAGACCUCGCGCGAUUGGAGCGGCCGAUAUCAGAUUAGGUAGUUGGUGAGGUAAAGGACUCACCAAGCCGACGAUCUGUAGCUGGUCUGAGAGAACGACCAGCCACACUGGGACUGAGACACGGCCCA
rnacentral:rRNA from 1 species